GGCCUAAUAGUGUAAUCGUCGCACGCAUCCUUCGGGAUGCUCCCGCGGUAAUUGUCGCAUAGUUUGGAUGUAGUCUGGGUUCAAUUCCCAGUUGGGCCC
rnacentral:tRNA from 2 species